CCAGGGAUCAGUUUUAGCCCAAGUUCUUGGGGACUUGGCUACGCCUGGCACACGCACACACACAGUCAUCCCCACGUACCCCCCUUCAGGCCUGGACGUGUCCCUGGCUUUGGCUCUUGGCAUCCACACACACACACCACCCCCGCCGAAAGAUUGUUGGCACAAGGUUGUCUGGGACCUCCAAGACAACAUGUCUGGGGAAGUCACCACACAGCCGCGUGGUCUAGGCCAGGGCAACCUGAGCAGGAAGGGGUGGUAGCUGCACGCCCCAGCCCUGGACAUCACAGAGGCUGGAUGUAUGCAGGAUGCGGCCUCUCAUCCACUUGAGCAGGAGGCGUUCUCCCCACCCAGCUGCUCUGAGCCUGGCUGAGAUGAAGCUAGACUUGAGGAAGGACUUCCUGACCAUGUUGGGGCCUGGCUUCAGGUGCUACCUCCUCAGGAGCUUUCUUAACCCCUGCAGGACAGGUCUAGUGUCCCUGUGCCACCCCCAUCACUGCUGAUCACCCUGGCUGACAUCGCCUGACUUCAGGGCUGCGGUCUGCAGCUCAGUGAGGACAGCACUGGCACCAGAAAACCUCUGUGGGCUGAAUAAACACAUUAUCUCCUUCUGGGCAAUUUUUUUCCUCUCGUGUGUUUCCAACUCUAAUUGGAGUGCUGUCCACAGGCCAGUCCAAGGAUGGAGUGAGCGUCCAUGCUGCCUGUCUGCAGUCCUGGCUGAGCCAAGUCGAGGGUCCACACUGCCCACAACGAGAUGAAGUCAAAGUGAGUAUCCAUGGGACUUCCCUUGUUGUGCAGUGGUUAAGAAUCUGCCUGCCAAUGCAAGGGAUCAUGGGUUUGAGCCCUGGUCUGGGAAGAUCCCAUAUGCUGCGGAGCAACUAAGCCUGUGUGCCACAACUACUGAGC